rnacentral:lncRNA from 1 species
UUUGGUUACCAUAACCACCGCCGAUUACUACUCUCCCUCAUCUCCUCCGGUUUACAAAUCACCGGAACACAAACCCACGCUCCCGUCUCCGGUUUACACUCCACCCGUUUACAAGCCUACCCUCUCCCCUCCAGUCUACACUAAGCCAACUAUCCCACCUCCGGUUUACACCCCACCGGUUUACAAGCAUACACCCUCACCUCCGGUUUACACUAAGCCAACUAUCCCACCCCCAGUGUACACCCCACCCGUUUACAAGCCAACUCUCUCACCUCCGGUUUACACUAAACCCACUAUCCCACCUCCCGUUUACACCCCACCGGUUUACAAGCCAACUCCGGUUUACACUAAGCCAACAAUCCCACCUCCGGUUUACACUCCACCGGUUUACAAGCCUACUCCCUCUCCCCCGGUCUACAAAAAGUCUCCAAGCUAUUCGUCUCCUCCUCCUC